rnacentral:lncRNA from 1 species
GACGGAUUAAAGAGGAUGUUUGAACCGAGACCAUUAAUUUCCUUGCAGUGUGUAUUCAAGUCAGAUCCCUUUGGAGGAGCCUUUUGUGGUUUUGUAAAAUUACAGCGUUGGUUCUUCGGCUGCCUCUUCCAGAGCAUAAAUUUGGCCUUCUAAAGAAAACGUACUGCAGAGAAGAAAGGAAAGAAAUGAGUAUGUAGUUAUCUUAAAUAUAUUCGUUUUAUAUAAUAGUUCUGUUAUGCAAAGAAACAAUUACGGUAUUAGCUCCUUAUUAAUAACAGAAAUCAUAAAAAAGCGGUCUUCAUAAAACUUACAAGGUUUUUUUUUUGUUUCUGUUUGAAAAAAAAUUAAUAAAAAAGAUUUGUCCCUAACAGUUUACGAAUGCUUAAAAAUACUUUUUUUUUCAAUCGUCAGGUUUAAAAAUAAAUGUUCCUCUCUUUUCUAAGACAAUUAGCAUACUUUUUAGUUUUGCAGGGGUUAGGUGAGACCCUGGGGUCUCGCGGGGCAGUUGGAGAAUGAAUUGUUCCGCUCGCUUGCCUGAACAUCUCCUGUCCGUUAGCUUCCCUCAAAUGUGAGUUACGGUCGUGUGAGCAGCCCACAGCUUGUGAAACAGCAACGUUAUUUCAGAUUCUUCCUUUUUUUUUUUUGAGUUUUAAUUUUUUAUGUUUUUAUUAUUAUUAAUAUUUUUAAAUACAAUUUAUUGUCAAGUAAGCUAACGUAGAGUUGUAUACAGUGUGCUCUUGGUUUCGGGGGUCAAUUCCCAUGAUUCAUCGCUUACGUCCAACACCCAGUGCUCAUUCCAACAAGUGCCCUCCUCAAUGCCCAUCUGUCAUUUUCCCCUCUUCCCCACGCCCCCCCAUCGACCCUCAGUUUAUUCUCUGUAUUUAAGGGUCUCUUACGGUUUGCCUCCUUCUCUGUUUGAAACUUCUUUUUUUCCACUUCCCUUCCCCUAUGGUCUUCGGUUCCAUGGUUUCUCAAGUUCCACAUAUGAAUGAAAACAUAUGACACCUGUCUUUCUCUGACUGACGUAUUUCGCUUAGCAUAAUAUCCUCCACUUCCAUCCACGUUGUUGCAAAUGGCAGGAUUUCACUCUUUCUCAUUGCCAAGUAGUAUUCCAUUGUACCCAUAGACCACAUCUUCCUUAUUCUUCUUUACAGCCCAUUCCUGUGCUCCAAACUGUUAGCACAGUACCUCACACAUGGCAGGAAGUGCGUUUUAUUUCAUGAAGGCUUAAAUGCAGUGCCUGGAAAAGGGGGAGAUUCUUACUUUGCUCUGUGGGUUAAGCAAACUUGUGGUUGACUUGAACUGAUAGAAAUCAAAAACCAAUUGAAGAAAGACAGCUUGGGUUUUUGGAGUCAUAUCUACCAUCUGGGGAUGAAGUAGGUAGUUGGGGAGACACAGUGAGACUUUUAAAGGUGCCCUCGCUGUCAGUCUGCAAUCUCACCUCUAGGCCCACUGCUGUGUGACUCUGAUUAGUCACCUCCACUCUCUGGGCUCUCCAUUCCCUACCGAACUCCGUGAUUUUCAAUCGCCAUUGUACCUUAGAAUCGCCACUGGAGACUUUUCUCAACACCCACGCCUGGGGCUCACAUCAUACCAAAUCCUUUAGAAUAUCCGAUGGGUGUGGCCCAGCUGUGUACUUCUAAAUAAUUUUCCAGGCAACUCCAAAGUCAAGCUGGGUUUAAACCAUGGCUCUAGAUUGGUGCCUCUCUAACUUCAAUGUGAGAUGAAUGACGGGGGAUCUCGUAAAAAUGCAGAGUCUGAUCCAAGAGUUCUGGGAAUUCUGCAGCUGAAGCAAAUGCCCCCGGUUAUGCUGGCUGGCUUCGUUGCCCUGGGACAAGGAAGAUCUAGAACCUGGGAGCUUACGAAACAUAUGAAAGGCCCCACCGCAGGCCCACUGAGUUGGACCUUGUAUUUCAAAGAGUCCUAGGUGAUUCAUAGCACAUCAGAGUUUGAAAAGUCCUGGUGUAGAUAAUCCAUAAUAACCCCUCUGGUUCUAACACACGAAGUCUUUCAGGGUAGGGCCUCUGCCCACUUCUGCCUUGUUUCCUUCCAGUCUCCCCAUGCUCCCCGCACCCUGACAAAUGAGACUCUUUGUAUUUGCCCAAAUGUGUGCCUGCUCUGCCUUUGUGCCUUUGCAUUAUGGGUGUGCCAUUCCCUUUAUAUUGAAAAGACCCUUUCCCUUUACCCUGCUUGUUUUCCAUUCCUCCUGCAAGAUUUAGAUAUCAAGUCCUCCAAGAAAGCUGUAUUUAAUAUUUCUAACAACCACACAGCCCUAGGCUGGGUGCUAACUCCUCCGUGCUUCCUCAUAUUGAACCGAAAUUACCCACUUUUGCGCUUUAAUACCCAUCUAGAAUAUAAGUUUCUGGAGUGGCAAACAUACAUCUCACUGAGUUUGUUUGUUUGUUUGUUUGUUUGUUUUUCUUCUAUCUAUCAAGUUUCCUGGUACAAUGGGUACACUUCUCUUCUUAAUGUACAUUCUAAUUAGGAUGGAGAUCCCAGUAGGUCCUUCAUAUCAAACCAUUCUUUCUGCCAUGACUGUUAGUAACAGGGUCCUGUGCCGGUAGCCACUCAAGACGGAUUUCCUACCACAGCCUAAAUCUCUUCGCGUGUCCUAAGGAUUUGUUGGAUCACGUGAGCUCUUGAAGGCUCAAGACCCCCAGAAUAAAGCAGUGUUCGUGGGCUGUCUUCAGCAAUGGUAACAGACGAGCGAGAAGGGCACGUACGCACUUGAUUUCUGUGCUGCUUCUGUUUUUGACGUUUAUCAAAGUGGACGUCCCUUCCCAAAGGCCAAGGGAGAAAAGAUGGAACAGAUCAUUUUUAUUCGCCCAGUGUUCUUGUGGUUGUUUCCCAGGCUGACUGAGAAUAAAUUUGCCUCCUAAUUUCUGUCCAGGCCCCAUAAUUUCUUGUUGUUAAAGAAAGACACAUGGGUAUUGCCGAAGCACCCCAAGAACUUUACUCGGCCGAGUGUGACCUAAAGGAUAGGGGAAAUGUGGGAGGGCUGUUCACUGUGAUUUUCUCCCUGUGACCCACAUUGGAAAUGUCCUGUGAAAAAGUAAGAGACAUCAAGGCUUCAUUUGCUCUCAGCUUAGUUUUGGAUUCAAAUUAUGCGUAUGUAUUAAAUUCAGUGAAUAUCUAUGUGGUGCCCCCUGUGUGUCAGGCUCUGUUAGAUGUUUGGGGAGACUAACUAUAAUGAGUCAUAGAUUUUACUUUCCAGGAGUUUCCUAUUACAGAUAAGGAGGACCAUACAGCUAAGUGUUAUCCUAGAGAAUAGGGUGCCACGAGAACACAGACAAAGAGACAAUAAACUCUCUUGCUUAUGCUGUAAAAAAGGGCUAACAUAACAAGGGCUAAUAUGCCAAAGGAAACAAUUUUUAAUGUUUAUUUAUUUGAGAGACAGAGAGAGAGAGAAAGAAAGAGAGAGAGUGCAAGAAAGGGGAGGAGCAGAGAGAGAGGGAGACACAAAACCCAAAGCAGGCUCCAGGCUCUGAGCUGUCAGCACAGAGCUCGACGAGGGGCUCGAACCCACGAACCGUGAGAUCGUGACCUGAGCUGAAGUUGUACGCUUAACUAACUGAGUCACCCAGGUGCCCCUAGGGAAACUUUAAAAAAUGAAAGAAUUACUCAAAAUAGAAGGAGGAGAAAUAGCUUUCUACAUAGGGGAAUAGCCCAAGUCAAGUCAAAAAGGCAAAAUAGCAUUUUAGGUUUCAUUAUAGCACUAGAAUUAAAUUUAAUAACAUAUAAUCUUAAAUAUAAAUAUUUUUCUCAGCCAUAUAAAUUUUUAAAAAUAGGUCAGGGUAUUAUCCAAUCCUUAGUCACUAAUAAUCUGGAUAGCACUGUGGUAUACCAGAAAGUCCAAGAAAAUGGUCGAGGAAAAAGUAAAAUCAGUAAGAGAACUUUAGCUCAACUUGAAUUAAAUGUGUCAAAGAUGAGGCAGUGCCUCUAAGAUAUUUGGACAUAAUCUUGUGAAUUAUUUGAGGCUGGGCAUGAUAUUUGUUCUACUACACAGAUUUGGCCUUACCUGGGAGUGUUACCAAUUUAGGAUAAUGAUAAGCAAAUUCUCAACCAGGUUUUUGUGGGCCAGACAAGCAAUGUGAAUGUGUACUUUUGAAUUGUAAGGGGAGGCAUUCUCCUGCCUCAGUCUAGAGUCGUUUGAUCAUUUUAGUGCCCCUCUGCUCCCAUAAGAGUUUCUGUUUUGUUUUGUUUUUCAGUUCUACCCAUUCUCUGAAGACAUUUCUCUUUUUGAGUCUGGGUUACACAUGGGGGUCCAUCUUGGUUUAAGCACUCUUCGUAAGAUAUUAACAGAUAUGCCAGGACACUGGCUCUCUCCGAUGUUUUGUUACCUCUCUUACUGUUUUUGGCCUCUUAACAAUAGAUGUAUAUAUCCGUAUCUGUAUCUGUAUCUUCAUCUAUAUAAUCUAUAUCUAUACUCUUUCAAGAGACUUUAUUCAAAUGAUUAGUUAAUGUCUCCAUUUCUAUUGCUGUGUAACAAAUGAUCCCGAAUCUUGGUGGCUAAAAUAACAGCAAUGGUAGAUUACAGAGAUAAGCUUGUCUUGUGCAGAUGACUUUUAGCGAUUUCUUUAAAAAUAAAAACAGAUGACUUUUAUACUGACAAAAAUAAGUUUCAAAACAAUAACAAAAUAGGAACUAAGACCUAAUGUAUGUCCGUCACUGAAAUGUGCUUGUUCAUAAAAGACAAUAUGAUUGUCCCUGAUCUACUUUUUUGACUCUCUACUGAUCAGUGGGUCCACCUGCCAGGCACACAGAAGGAGGCUGGAGAAAAAGGUAGGAUCUAGUCAAAACAGAGAAGAGCUUAAGGUGAAGAAUAAGGUCCUCGUCUUGGCUUCUCUGGCAUAAGUUAAUCAACAACUUAAUAUACAUUGAGUUCAAAUGCGGGGGAGGAUUUUGAAGGGGGAGUGGCAGGGUCCCUUCUGCAACAGAAUUUACAAUGGGUUAAGGAGAGUGGAACCAGGAAGUGAAAGAGGUGAGGAUUUCAAGGCUAAUUGGAAAUAGGUUUGCAUCUUGACUUGGCAACUGGCCUUGAAUAAAUUACAUUGUUAAAAUAUUUUUUGAAGAUGAAAGUCACAAUGAAAGAAAGAAAGAAAGAAAGAAAGAAAGAAAGAAAAGAGAGAAAAGAAGGUCACAAUGAGACACACCCUUAUGAAAUUUCAAACACUAGAAUAAAGAGAUCCUGAAAACAUCACAGGAAUGAAAAUUAACAGGCAUCGGAUUUCUCAUUAGUAACACAAGAUGCUAGAACACAAUGGUGUAAUUCUUUCGUAGUUCCCAGGGAAAACAUUUUCAGCAUAGAACACUGUAGUUGGCUUUGGUGGAAAGUUGCGUUUUUCGACUCAGCAUCCAUUUUUUUUCCUCUUCCUAUUUGUAGGUACAUCUCCAGUUUUGUUGAGUAUUUGCUGAGCUGGGAUAAGCCAAGGAGGGGCCCUGGAUAACGAAUUAUCGGUCUAAAUCAAUUGUGACAAAAUCAUUCCUCUUUGCUCUUGUUAUUCAAAGGGUGGGACUGCCAUGCAGUUCCAGCCAAGGAGUCUUCUGGGUCUCUGGAAACAACUGUUUUCCUGAUAAAAAGAAAGAGCUAUUCAGGAGGAAGUCUCUUCCCUAGUGGUCCAUCUUCUUGCCUUGUCAAAUUCAGUUAUUUGAGGAUAUUAUGCUUGGAUUUGUGUCACCGAUCUUGUGACUACAAGGUAAGAAGCAAAGUGCUGAUGGCCAGGGAGAAUAACAGAAAGAGCCUAGGUCGUUGAUAAUGGUGUUUAGCCACUGCACCAAGCCUGGUACCGCCCACCUCCAGAUUUCCUGUUAUUUCAGAUAAUAAAGAUCUUUCUCGCUUAAGCUGUUGUGGGAUGGUUUGUCACCUGCAGCAGAAUGCAUCGUGAAUGAUCCAUGGGCCAAGUUAUCUAUGAGGCAGAGGAUGUAAAGAUAUUUUAUCUUCAGACUUGGAAAUACUCAAACAUUUGCAGGUCAUGCAUUCCAUUUUAGAGAUUUACCUGCGGAUCUAGUCUAGUAAAUCCAGGAAGGCAAUCAGGAAAGGAAGCAGAAUCCACCCCAAAGGAGAUUAAAGGGAGUGCUGAAGUGAUAGCAGAAAGCCUGGAGGCAAGAAACCAGAUUGGAAAAAAAGGAGAAAGGGUUGGAAGUGCAUCAGGGAGGGCGAGAGGGAAAUUUCCAGGGGGCGGGGGGCGGGGGGGGGUAUACUCAAUAGAUAGAAAUUAUAGUUGAGAGUUUGGGCUACACUAAACAUACGAUCAUAUGACAAGGGGAGAUAAAUACAGAAUGAAAGAAGGUAACUAGGAACCCCGGUAUAUGCAUCUUGGAGAAGGAAGGUAGAGAAUAAACAAGAGAGACCUGACAUGAACAUGGAAUGAACCAUGUUGCUGCAUAUGCUAACAAGUGAGGUAAAUUAGAGAAGCUAUGCAAUCCUACUAAGUAGAAAUAGUCACCUUUGGAAAUUCCAUAAGUCUUAGCAUUGGACCCAUCUAGGCUUAGCAAAUGAGCAAUGAUCAUAUAGUUUUCAAAAUUAAAUAUAAAUAAAUGUAGUAUAAUCACAUAAGCACUGAUAGAAUUAAACUUUCGAUAAGGAAUAGACAUUUUGGUGCUGCUUGUCUGGCGGGAUAGACAAAACGAUGCUACUGAUAAUGUAAGAGUAUAGAGGACAUAAAGCAGGAAUUCACAGUGGGGUACAAACUGAUAGGAAAAGUUAAGGCAUUAGUAUCCUUAACUUAACGAUCUAGUGUAAUAGCUUAGAUAUUACAUAUCUUACAUACUAGAUAUUGGAUAUUGGGCAGCACUGGUGGAAUAAGAGAGAUGUUGGGGCGCCUGGGUGGCUCAUGGGGGGUUAAGCAUCCAACUUCGGCUCAGGUCAUGAUCUCGCAGUUUGUGAGUUUGAGCCCCGCGUCGGGCUCUGUGCUGACAGCUCAGAGCCUGGAGCCUGCUUCGGAUUCUGUGUCUCCCUCUCCCUCUGCCCCUCCCCUGCUCAUGCUCUGUCUGUCUCUGUCUCCCAAAAAUAAAUACAAAGUUUUUUUUAAUAAAUAAAUAAAUAAAUAAAUAAAUAAAUAAUAAGAGAUAAAGAUUUUGCUCAUUUAUACCACUUUUCUCUUUCACCAAAUCUCCAAAUGUUUGAUUUUCUAUUAUUCUUCUUAGUUAUUCUGUUGUCUACUUUUAACAUUAAAUAGUAUAUUUAAACACCUUUUUUUUUUUUAUUUAAAAAAAAAUUUUUUUUUCAACGUUUAUUUAUUUUUGGGACAGAGAGAGACAGAGCAUGAAUGGGGGAGGGGCAGAGAGAGGGAGACACAGAAUGGGAAACAGGCUCCAGGCUCUGAGCCAUCAGCCCAGAGCCUGAUGCGGGGCUUGAACUCACGGACCGCGAGAUCGUGACCUGGCUGAAGUCGGACGCUUAACCGACUGCGCCACCCAGGCGCCCCGAAACACCUUUUUUUUAAACGUUUAUUUAUUAUUGAAAGACAGAGAGAGUCUAGAAUGUCUCACACAAUCCUCUUGUCCCCUAUUUGUCUUCCAAAUCCCACCUCAUAUUGUCACCUACUCUGUGAAACAUUCCCAGCCCCCUGUCACCCUUGCUCCCAGAUGGCACCAGACAAUAACUGUGUGCCCCCUCUAUAGCAUUAAUUUAUACAUUCGUCCAUUCAACAUACUCCGGAGGGGUGGGUUAUUCUGUUCCAGGCUCUGGUGUAGGUGCUAAAGAUACAACUGCAAAAAAGAUAAGCCACCUAUGGGCACUCUUCUCACGGAACUGACACUUUAUAGGGAGGAAAAGAAUGAAAGGUCUGAUUGUAAAAUUAAGGAAUUACAAUCGUGGUAGGGGCUAUGAGCUUUGUCCUUCUUUUCAGAGAAUAAGGAAUUCGCUGAAGAUUAACCUCAAUGAAAUAUGUUUGUGGCCAGAUUAGGAAUGUGUGAGUUGUAGCCUGUGGACCAAGCCCAGUCUACCACCUGUUCUGGCAAAUAAAGUUUUAUAGGAACACAGCCAUGCUUUUUGUUUACUUAUUAUCUAUGGCUGCUUUCACCCUGUAAUGGCAGAGUGAGGUCAUUGCAACAGCCAUUGUAUGGGAUGCAAAGCCUGAAAUAUCUUUUCUUUAGAGAAAAUGAUCCUUGGAAUAGAUCAUCCUAUGAACAAUGCAGAGAACUGUUCAUGCUUUUAUGCUUGUACCCACUGUACUAAGAUCAUCUGUAUACGUAUUUGAUCUCCCCAUUAUCAUACAUUGAGAUCUUCUUUGUACAGGGACCAUAUUCAAUUCAUCUUAGUUUCCCUAACUUCUGGUACAUUAUUGGUACAAUGAACAACUCACUGAUUGAAUCAAUCUUCUUCCUCUACCUCACAGGUCAUCUAGUCCAGCUGCUAAUUUAACUGAUUUGUUAAUUAAGGUCAAGGGAGUUUGUGGGACUUUCUCCCCAAACACCCAGCAAGUUAGUGUCCAUAGUGGGUCUCAAAUCCUGAUCUCCUCUUCUCCUUCUUCCUCUUCUUCCUCCUCCUCCUCCUCCUCCUUCUUCUUUUUCAAGUCCUGAUUUCUUGACUGUCACUCUUCUCAUCUCUGUUCUUACUUUGAUUCAGCUGCCUCAAUUGGUCUAAAAAUAAGCAAUCAUUUGAAUAUCACUAGAACCAGGAAACUGGAGAUAUGCAUCUACUUAUAGAGUCAUGCUUUGAGAGCCACGAUGACUCAGUUAUGAAGAAAACGUGCCCAGGAGCUUUGUCUCAGUCUGUGUUAUAAUUGUCUUUAGAGAGUAGAAGUUUGUGCAUUAUCUUAGCAGGCUGAGCUCGAUGAAAUACCCUGGAAAGCUCUGAGGACUCCUACGUGGAGGUCAGGGAUGCAGAAGCCUCCGUAUUGCUGUUCCAUAUGCCUGUUUGCCCUUCCUAUUAGAAGGCUGGGAAUAUAAUUAGGAGACAGGCACCACAGAUGCCGCAGUUUACAAUAACCAGAAGAAACCGUCGAAACGGGUAAGACAUGAAAGGAUAAUUUUGCUUAUACAAAAUAGCAGACUGCAAACUAAAACCAAGAAAAACAAACAGGCAGAUGGAAAGAGUGGAGAAGGCAUUGGCACAGCUGUGAGCGGGAUUUAGACACCCAGAUGCAACAUCAUUUGGGGGGAUGGGUGGGAGAGGAAGAGAAUCUGAGGAAAAAAAAAAAAAAAACAAAACAAAACCUGAGAUACAAAAUAGAUACCGGAGAAUAAUGGGUUUCUCAUCUCUCCACCUGCAGGUUCAACUUUUUCACAUCCACCUCCUCUUACCCUGGCUGUGGCAAGUCAUUUCCUGGGGGAGGGAGGAAGGGACUCAAGGACAGAGAAGAUAAACAGGCAUCCUUCCUAAUAGAGAAGGCAGUGGCAGUAAAAUCAACAGCUCUGAUUGCAGUGGAAGAAGAAAGACAUAGCCAUUACCCAGAAGAGGGCGAAUAGUGGUGUUUGGUUUUAUUAUUAGCAGCAUUAUUUAGAUAGCAACACAUGUGCAUGGCUGCCUUUCCAGAUAGAGCCCUGGGAGGGGCAAGAAGGCCAGAACCACCCUGCCUGGAGUUUCUACGAAUGCAUUAACCACUGUCAUGGAAACUGCAAACAUCAUUGUGGUUAAUCCCCCUCCCCCAACAACACCAGCACAAAACCUCAGGGAUGUACUGUGUUCUCUGUUUUUAGGGGUUAGGAAACUGAAGGUCAGCGGGGAAGAGGCUGGAUUUAAACUAGAACUUUUUUUGUUUAAUGUUUAUUUUUGAAAGAGAGAAACAGAGCGUGAGCGGGGGAGGGGCAGAGAGAGAGGGAGACACAGAAUCCGAAGCAGGCUCCAGGCUCCGAGCUGUCAGCACAGAGCCCGACGCGGGGCUCGAACUCACGAACCGUGAGAUAGUGACCCGAGCCGAAGUCAGACGCUCAACCGACUGAGCCACCCAGGCGCCCCGAGACCUAGAACUUUAUGAUAUUCUCGAGUGUCUUCUCCAACCAGUGAAGGGCAGAAGCAAAUCAAAGUGAUCAGAAGAUACAUUUCUGUUAUGUCAGACCAAACGUGAGACCCAAAGGGAUCAACCAUGGGUUCCUCAGCAAACAGUACUCCGCAGAGAAAGUUCUGUUGCCCAGAAGAGACACAGAGAGAGCACGCUUCACUCUGCCAUGCUGCCACAGCACUGUGAUUCCAUUUCUCUCCAAAUGCUAACAUUUUCUUUCUUUUCUCUCUCUCUCUCUCUCUCUUUUUUUUUUUUUUUACAGUUGGCUGUUUAUGCUUUUUACUCCCACUGUACUGUGAGCCCCUGGAGCAGAAAAAUUGGACAUCAUUCAUGCUUUUAUCCCCAGGACCAGAAAAAAAAAAAAAAAAGCCUGCCUGUCCUUAAGGCUGCUACAUGGCCCAGCUCCAGAGGCCCCACUGGAGUCUACUUUGGAAACUGUGUCUCCCUCUCUCACUCUGUCCCGCCCCGGCUCUCAUUCUCUCUCUCUCUCUCAAAAAUAAAUAAUGCAGGUGCAUUGUGCACGUGGCCGGUGAGGGGUGACAAAGGCAUGGCCCUCUCCAGCCAGCUAGCCUCCAAGAAGUCCCCAGUGACAAGUGAUAUCUCCUUCCUCCGGGUUCUCAGGGAGCUCUGCUUGAUGUGCCCUUUUCCCCUACCCUGUUCCUGACCACAUUUUCAUCUCAGUCCCAUGUACCAGCUGACAUUCGUCCCUAGAGCUGUAUAUGCACACGCUGGCUUUCCUCUUAGUUCCCUUGAAGUGGCCUGGUCAAGUGAAAUGAGUAUGUAUUUUGAACAAAAUAAUGUGCUUCUUUUCUAAAGAAUAUUUCCUUAUUUAUAAAACGUGGCUUAUAAAUCUUUGACACAUAAACAAUGCAGAGUAGUAUCUUUUCUUCAGUAACUAUGUCCUUAUCCCCUCCCCGAGGCUCCAGGAGCGGCACAACUCUGGACUCCUUGGCUGGGGCUGUGAAUGGGUUCCUGAUGGUGAUGGGGACCCUCUGCCUGCUGCCACAGGAAAUGAGGCAGGGUUCCCGUAUCUUGGAGGAUACAUCUCUUCAUGGGAAGAGAGCAAUUAUUGGUCUACAUUCCAUCUCUUGGGCCGCUCACACCAGCUAUUUUGGGGAAGGGGAAAGCCAGUCUCACAACACUAUCCCUAGAGAAAAGAUGCCAAUGUCAAUGUCAGCCAUUAGGAAACGUCAUUAAAGCAGAUGAGAAACGGGCUGUGGACAUUUUUAUGAGCCCAGAAUACUCUGGUUGGAGAUUUUAUGGAGACCACAGGAAACCAGAGAGACAAUGACAUUCAUACUCUUUUUUUAGAGUCUAGUGAGGAGCAAGUGUGUGUGUGUGUGUGUGUGUGUGUGUGUGUGUGUGUGUAUGCUCAACAGAGUGUGUUUUUGAAAGGGAAAGCCACUGUUGGAGGCCAUGUCAAAGUGAGCCUUAUUCACAGAACUUGUGGAUCUGUUAGCGAUAGAAUGCUCCAGGCCAAGUAGCUGUGGGCUCAAUGCCCAAAUCCUUCCAGAAUUGCAAAGAAAACCCUUCCUUUUGAUUCCGGGAUACUCUGCGAACUAGUCUUCAGAGAAUGCUGUUCUGCUUAAGCCUAUAUGGUUGCAACAGUAUAUCUGUAAUUUCUAUAUAUUCAUUUUCUUCUUUUUUUUAAUGUGACAAAAUGAAGCUCAGAAAGAUUGAGAAACUUACAUAAACACCCAGAUGAUAAGCAGUGGAGUCAGAACCUGACUGCGCAUCUUCUCUGUUACCAUGUUGCCCAGAGGUACAGAUUUAGGGCAGGGAUAGGAAAAAGGUUGUGCAUGUAGAAUUGAACCCAAAUGAAGUGUCCCGGGUCUUUAUUUUUCUCUGUAAAUCAGCAGUUGUGAUAUUGAGAUAUUUUUUUCUCUGUAAAUCAGCAGUUGUGUUCUUAAGGUAUUGAUCCACACAAUGGAAUAGGAGGGAAGUGUGCAAAUGCCUGGCAGUUUGCUUUCUGCCUUUACAGUAUUGCAGUUGUGUGUUUUCCUGGAGUCCUACAAGAGGGAAGGGGCAGAUUAUCCAGAAUAUUCCUGAAAUGUGGAGCUUUCCUAUUCACAUUGACAUCUUGUGGUAGUCCUGUGUUACUGCAGCCUGGUAAACUGAAGAUUCAAUUUUACCAAUUAAAAAAACAAAAAUAUAGUGUUUAUUUAUUUGAGAGAGAGAGAGAGAGAGAGAGAGAGAGAGAGAGAGAGAAUGAGCUGGGGCGGGACAGAGAGAGGGGGAGACACAGAAUCCGAAGCAGACUCCAGGCUCUGAGGCUAUCAGCACAGAGACCGACACGGGGCUCAAAACCACGAGCCUCAAGAUCAUGACCUGAGCUGAAGUUGGACGCUCAGCUGACCGAGCCACUCAGGUGUCCCAAUUUUACGAAUAUUUAUUUUACUUUUCCGUACAGUAAUUGGAUCACAAGUUACUAAGGACCUGGCAGGUGCCAGACGCUGUGCUAAGUAAGCACUUGGGAAUAUGAAGACGUACUUACAGAAGAACAGUGGACGAGACCAAACUGGAAGCUCUUACAGCAGCAGGUCUCUGAUCAAUAGAAGAACCACAAUUCAGUGAGCACCUGCCAUGCAGGUCACCUGGUGCCCAGUAGUAACUAUACUACCUGCUCUGCAUUUAGUAUUCCAUUGAAUCCGCACAAGGACCCCAUGUGAUGUCUAUUCUCAUUCACAUUUCAGAGUCGAGGAAACCUAAGCUUUGACAAGUUAUUUAGAUGACCCCCGUUUACAAAGCUCACGAGUAGUAAAGUGAGGUUUCAAACCCUGAUUUGUUGUAUCUCAAAGCCAGAACGACACCGUCCUGUGUAGCCGGGACAGAACGAUUCCAAUGGCGAGGUGGCAUUUGAGAAGGCCUUAAAGAAUGGCCAGGUUUGUUCUGUGCGAUUGAGUCCAUGGAAAUGAUGGGUUAUCAGACUUUCCAGGGGUCUAAUGGUUAAAGUCUGCCCAAUUUACUUCAAUUCUCCAAUAACAACAACAAAAAUAACAACAACAACAAAACCCACCACUAUUAACACGACCACGUAUAUGCAUCAGCAAGUUUUCUUGUGCAAACUUAAUAAAUACACGAAUGUAUAAACAGCAACAACGAAAAGAAUCCCACUGCAUGACCUGCUUGGUAAUCUGCUGAUUUUUGUUGAAUUUGUUAGAUUUCUACUGCUGUAUACCAAAUUACCAGAGACUUAAUGGCUUAAAACAACACUCAUUUAUCUCAUAGUCCCAUAGGUCAGAAAUUCAGGCAGAUGGUUCUCCACUUAGGGUACCCCAGGGUACCCUUAGGUUCUCUGCUCAGGGUACCCCAAGGCCACAGUGAAGGUAUCUGGGGGGCUCGGCUCUCACCUGGUGGCUCUACCAGAGAAUCCACUUCCAAGUGCGUUUAGUCCGUUCUCUGUAAUUGUAGAACUGAGGACAUUGUUGUUUUGCUGGGUGCGGGCCAGUGAUCCCUUUUUACUGCCUAAAGGUGGCUCUCUGGUCCUUGUCAGUGGGUCCUCUAGCUCAGCAAUGAUUGAGACUCCUUCACAUGGAGUCUCGCUCAGGCUUUACAUCUCCAUAACUUUCUCUUCUGCUACUAUCUGGAAAAAUCCCUUGAUAUUUAAAGAUCCCUUUUCAUUAGGUUAGACCCAUUUGGAUGGUCUCCCAUAGCUUAAGAUCGACUGAUUAGUAUACUUAACUACAUAGCAAAGUUCCAUUUGCCAUAAAACAUAAUGUAUCAUGGAAAUGCCACUAGAGGCCAUCUUAGAAUUCUGCCUACUGCAUUUAACAAUUGUUCUUUCUACGUACAUUCCUUGAGGCUAUGUUACACGCUAGAUUCUAGGCUCUAGAGAGAUGACAGCAAAAAAACAGAGCAAGUCCCUGCGUUCAUGAAACACACUAGAGUUCUGGAAAGAGAAAUAAUUUCUAUACGAUGGGAUAUGCCUGUGUUUGUUUUCAUUGUUUAUGGCUGUGUAGCCCCAUGGUAUAAAUACACCAUAAUUUAAGUAAAUAUUGUCCAAUAUUGGACAAUUUAGAUUACUUUCCAGUUUGUAUUUAUAAACAACCCUGAAAUGGACAUUUUUUGGCACUGGUAUCAGACAGGUGCCUGGAAAUGGAAUUUAUGGGCAAAGUGUAUGAUUUUUGAUACAUGAUAUCCAACUGUUCCUUGGAAAUCUCAUGCCAUCACAUUCCCACAUUCCUGCCAUUUUUUUUUCACCUUUGCAAAUCUUCCUAGUGAGAUUGGACAUUUUAUCAUAUACACACACAUAUCUAUCUAUAGAUAUAUAUUAUAUUUAAAGCUUUUUAGGUUAUUACUGUUCAUAUCCUUUGUGAAUUUCUCCACUAGGAUUUUUUUCAUCAUUUUAUUAGAUAUUUAAAUAUUUAAUGUAUUCACUUUACUGUCGGAUACACCGCAAAUUUUAUCUGAGUUCAUUGUCUUGUCAUUUCCUUUAUGACAUCUUUUGGUAGAAGGGAUUUUUUUCGAUCCAAUUUAUUCAUGCCUUUAUGGCUUUGCUUUUGGGAUAAUAGCUGGUAAAGCCUUUUUCACCUCUGUAUGUAAGUAUGCACAUGUAUUUUCUUUGAAUUUAUUUUUAUUAUGAAAAUGUUUAACUUGGCCCUAAAUUAAGGAUUUUAGAUUCUUUUUCAAAAGUAUAACCAGUUGCAGGGCGCCUGGGUGGGUCAGUCCCUUAAGUGUCCCGUUCUUGAUUUCAGCUCAGGUCAUGAUCUUACGGUGCUUGAGUUUGAGCCUCGAGUUGGGCUCUGUGCUAAUAGCAAGAAGCCUGCUUGGGAUUCUUUCUUUCUCCACCUCUCUCUGCCCCUCCCUUGCUCACAUGUGCAAAACUCUCUCUCUCUCUGUCUCUCUCUCUCUCUAAAUAAUAAAAAAGCCCACAAAACUUAAAAAAAAAAAAGUAUAGCCAGUUGUUCUGCCAUUGUUCCAUGAAUACACCGAACAUUUCAGCGUGUCUGAAAUGUGUCCCAAUUCUCUGUUCCCUUCUGGGCUUUCUGUAUAAUUUGGCCGCUCUGGCUUUUCUGCAUGACCCCCACACCAGCUUGAUUGUUAGAGCUUUAUGAUGUUUUAAGCUUGAUAAGCCAAGUCCUCCUUCAUUAGUCUUCUUAAAAAAAAAAAAGAGUGCCUGGGUGGCUCAGUCAGUUAAGUGUCCAACUUUAGCUCAGGUCAUGAUCUUACAGUCCAUGAGUUCAAGCCCUGCGUCAGGCUCUCUGCUGAUGGCUCAGAGCCUGGAGCCUGCUUCGGAUUCUGUAUCUCCCUCUCUCUGGGCCACUUCUCCACUCAUGCUUAGUCUGUCUCUCAAAAAUGAAUAAAUGUUAAAAACACUAUGGGGCGCCUGGGUGGCUCAGUCGGUUAAGCGUCCGACUUCGGCUCAGGUCACGAUCUCGCGGUUUGUGUUCGAGCCCCGCGUCAGGCUCUGUGCUGAUGGCUCAGAGCCUGGAGCCUGUUCGGAUUCUCCCUCUCUCUCUGACCCUUCCCCAUUCAUGCUCUGUCUCUCUCUGUCUCAAAAAUAAAUAAACGUUAAAAAAAUUUUUUAAAACACUAAAAAAAAAAAGGAAAAGAUGCCCUGAGAGUAUCUGCUGAUACCUCUCUCUCUCUCUCUCUCUCUCAGUUCCUAAUAUUCCACCCCCAAACAGUUACUUAUACCAUAUCAAGUCCCCCCACCAUUCUUAAAUACAUGAAUUUUCUGCCCCCAGGCUCCUACUGACUUGGUCCUGACUGUGGUCUUUGCCUAGACUGUUUAGAGACCUCCUGACCAGCUUAGCGGUCCUCAGGCUUAUCCAACCCCUUCUCCACAAAGGCCACCACACUGAUUGUGUAAAGGGCUGACCUGAUCACGUCUCUGCCAUGUAGGAAACCCUCAUCGCCUAUGAUUUCAGGUAGGAGCUCCUUAGUCUAAACUCUUUAUACCCUGCUCCUCAUCUAUCUUUCCAACUGCUUCUCCCUUGAGACAUGGUCACACCCCUUCAUUCUGCUUGCACUCCCCCUUCCCCACGGCAAGUGUGUGUGCCUCACCUUCAUGUCUUUCUGGAUGCAGUCGUUUUCGGCUGGGGUGCCCUUCCUCACUUCUCCAGCUUCCCCUGCUGACGGGCUAACACCUGCCUCUCCUUGAAGACUGGGCCCCGACUUCACCUUCUGGGACAUUUCCCAGCUCUCCUCCUCUCGGAUUCCACGUCAGACCCCUCCUCCCAUUUUCCCAAACACGUGGCGAGCAGGCUACUGGUUUUCAUGUUCUCACAUUAUUAUUGUUACCUCUCCACAGAAUAGUAUCCUUUUCUACAUAGGUGCUUGUUUUCGAUAAAUAUAAAUUACACGAUGGCUCAAGCCCCAUCUCAUUGAUGUAGGAAUUUACAGCCCCUGCCAGACUAGAGCAUAAGAACUCUAAUACAUACAGAAAUAAAUAAACUAACUCUAUCUCUAUAAAAACUCUAAAGCUAUGUAAGUUUCUAUAACAACACCUGCCGAAGAUUAUCAUCCUGGCUCACCUUUCUUCGGUCUCAUCUCUUCUAAUUUCGUACCUUCUGUUUUGAACAUGGCCCUUAAAACCAAUCUGAACUCUGCUUUAAAGGACACAAUGAUUCUUUGUCUGGGGAAAUUUUGUCUUACCAGUUAAGCAGAGUUAGCAUGGAUCUUGUAUGGCUUUUUUUCUCCUGUUGCUAAUUUCGGUGUCUCCAAACUAAAGAAAGGAAGGAAUGAGGACUCUUCCUUCUUCUGGGCUAAAGAGUAUCUUUAUUACCGAGCUCAUAGGUGUUAGCACUUCCCGGAGCCCAGUAGGUGCAGUUCCGGGAGACAGGCAUGAGCUUUCGUCGGAAAUGUGCUACCUGGCUCCGUAGACCUCUCUGAAAUUAGCUUCCCAUGUUAUCCAGGCCACCCCAGGUUGCUAUGGAAACCAAUAUGUCAGAUCAGCACAAAAUAAGAUAAAGAUUUGGGAGAAGCCACUGAUCGCUGCAACCUUCUUUUCAGAUUUUUCUCGUUCUCUCUUCGUGCAGAUGUGUGUGUGUCCGUGUGUACCUGAGUGUGUGUCUGGAUGGGUGCUUAGUGUCAAAAGCCACGUUGUCCCUCUUUCACGGGGCACAGGCACCUUUCUACCCUUCUCAGAGUGGGGACUCCCCAGCUGUCCUUUCCUGCUGUCGGGACCUCCUCCGAUAGGUAGCCCCAGUCUGCGGGGGACCCAGAGAGAACUUAAACCUUUCCUGUUCACAUCCAAAUGGACUCUGGAGAAGAAAUAGUUAUGUAAGGAGAAAGAACCCACCAUGGGUCCUGAGGACUGAGUCACAUUCCACAGAAAAGAAAAGAAAAAACUGUGGUCGGUGUUUUGCUAAUGUCUCUGCUGUUAAUACAGGGCUCCAGUCCAGAGCCAGGGAAACCAUUUCAUUCAGACCUCGGAGGAGGCUCUUGGAAAAGUCCUUGUUUCAGCUUGGUCGGGGAACCCACCCAGGCAGCACAGCGGGAAAUGUUUCCAACGUUAGAAACUCCAGCUGGAUGUUGUAGCCGCGUUGGCCUCUAGUUUGGAAUAAGGUAUACUAAUGAGAAAAGCCCAGUUGCUGGCUGAGAUUCACUCAGGAUUUCAUUCACUAGGAAGGCGAGAUGGGCAGAGCUCGGAGCUCCUGAAUGUUCUCAGCUGCUUCAUAUAUACACCGGAGUUGGAGAGGAAUGCGGUGACUUAGGUAUUGGGGGCAGUACACUGAUGUGGGUGAAGUCUGGAGUUCAGGCCCCUUGAGGGGGAUAUAAACAGUUCUGAGCACUGACGGUGUACCGGUUACCAUUGUAGGCGUUGCAAACCUACUAUUUGAAACUCGUUAAUUCUCACACCAAGCCCGCAUGCCGCAGGUUAUCCAAGUUUUGCAGAAGUUUUUGAGAAGCCAAGAGGCAGAGUACAAUGCUCUUGAGCAUGGCUAGUAAGAAGUGAUGGGAGUUGAUCUCAAGCCUUCGGGGACAUCAAACUGUUUUUCUUUCUAAUCUUCCCAUCAAAACACACUAGCUACUACAGGGGCGCAAGCAGUUCUAAAAGCGCCCUAUACUUGCACACUGCUAUUCUUGCAAUUCAAACCUUAUAGGUAUGAAUGACUUCAGGGGGUAGUGUUAGAGAAAGUGUUAAUCACCCCAUGAAAACCAGUCUUCUGUCCUGAGGGAAGUAAGUGCCCAAUUUAGGAUGAGUCAGCGGAAGAAAUUUAACUUUUUAUUUCCUCCCUCCCUCCCUUCCUUCCUCUCCUUUUUCUUUCUUUCUUUCUUUCUUUCUUUCUUUCUUUCUUUCUUUCUUUCUUUCUUUUUCUUUCUUUUUCUUUCUUCCUCCCUCCCUCCCUUCCUUCCUCUCCUUCUUUUUCUUUCUUCCUUCCUUCCUUCCACCCUCCCUUCCUUCCUCUCCUUCUUUUUUCUUUCUUUCUUUCUUUCUUUCUUCCUUCCUUCCUUCCUUCCUUCCACCCUCCCUCCCUUCCUCUCCUUCUUUUUCUUUCUUUCUUCUUUCUUUCUUUUCUUCCUUCCUUCCUUCCUUCCACCCUCCCUUCCUUCCUCUCCUUCUUUUUCUUCCUUCCUUCCUUUCUUCUUCCCUCCCUCCCUCCCUUCCUCUCCUUCUCUUUCUUUUGUCCUUCCUUCCUUCCUUCCUUCCUUCCUUCCUUCCUUCCUUCUCAAUGAUUCAACAAGUGACUUUUGAGCAAUUUAUUCUGCUCCAGUUUCUGUACUAGGCACAGAACUAAAAAGAUAAUCUUCGGGUUUGGGACUUCUUUUUUCAUUUUCAUUUUGGUGAUUUACUGUGUGUGUGUGUGUGUGUGUGUGCUAUGAAUACAGGUGCAUAGUUCUUAAUUGCAACAUAGUAAAAUUCACCAAUUUGUUCUUUAUUUUUUUUUUGUACCUUCUGUCUUCUUCUAAAGAAAUCACUGCCUCAUAUUACAGUGCCUCUUACUAACUGUAUUCAUAACAUUUUAAAGUUUUGGCACCCACAGUUUCCUUUUCUUUUUUAAGUUUAUUUAUUUUGAGACAGAUUGAGCAUGAGCAGGGAAGGGGCAGAGAGAGAGGGAGAGGGAGAAUCCCAAGCGGGCUCCACACUGUCAGCACAGAACCCGAUUUGGGGCUUAAACUCACAAACCAUGAGAUCAUGACCUGAGCUGAAAUCAGGACUCAGAUGCUUAACAGAUUGAGCCACCCAGGCUCCCUGGCAUCCAUGUUUCUGUUUUAAUUCCAUAUGAGAUUGAUUUUUGGAUCUUGCAAAGUAGGGACCCUAUUGCCCUUUCAUCUCUUUUUGAGCUGGAUAAGUCCACUCCCAGUCCAAUGCAUUGAACUGGUCACAGUCCUCCCGGACCUGUUGGAUCCUGGACCACGCGCCUAUUUCUGGGGCCCUUCAUUGCUCAUCCAGUGCUCCACUUCCUGUCACUGUUAUUGGUGUUUAGAAGAUCAAACAUGUGGCCUCGUGACUUCAUUUUUGAUAUGAGUUAUGUACUUGUGGAUUCCAAAUAUAUGUUUACUUAAAACCCAUAUUUGGUGCCACUGGUUUCUAAAUUGUGACCAGAGAUCAUGGUGAAUAGGAUAUUGCUAUUUACAACAGGUUGAGACUUCUUUUACGAUUUUCAAAAUUACAAACUGCUGUAAAACUUUCACAUUUGCUUGAAAAUUAUGUGUAUCUUGCAAUUGCUGGAUUUGGGGUUCCACGUUCAUUAGCUCAAACUUGCAAACAGUAUUUUAUUUAAGUCUAUUUUUUUCUAUUUUUAUUUUUGCUUGUCUUUCGAUUAUUGAGAAGCCUGGAUUAAAAUUUUCCAUUAUACUUAUGCAAUUUCUGUAUAGUUUCGUCAAGUUUUCCUUUAUACAUUUUGAAGCCAUAGUCAUUUUCAUACAUUUCCACUGAAACUACUAUCAUUAUUUCAUGAUCUGUGUCUUACUAAUUUUCUUUCUGUAAAUAUUUGCCUUACGUGGCACAUAUUUUUCCAUCUUAUACUUCCAACCUAGUGUGUCCAUAAGAUCGAAUGUGGGUUUUGUAAAAUUCAUUGGCUGAUAUAUUUUUUUAAGUCUGUCUGACUAUUGAUUAUUUCAACUGGAGACGGGUUGAAAUAUUUUUAAUUGUUUUUUUUAUUCAUUUUUUUAAGUUUAUUUAUUUUGAGAGAGAGAGAUAGAGAGCGAGAGCAGGGGAGGGGCAGAGAGACAGGGAGGGGGAGAAUCCCAAGCAGGUUCUAGGCUCAGUGUGGAGCCUGAUGUGGGGCUUGAUGUCACAACUGUGAAAUCAUGACCUGAGCUUAAAUGAAGAGUCAGACACUUAACUGAUUGAGCCACCAGACGCCCCUAAUUGCUUUAAAAUAUUACUGCAUUUACUUUUGAAGGUCUUUUUUCCCGUUUCUCAUUUUCCCACCUUUGGUUUCUUAAAACAUAUUAAAUAUACUUAUUAUGUAUCUGAAAAAUUCUGUUGUUUGUUGUUGCUGCUGGUUUCCUUGAGUUGUGUUUGAUUUUCUUUCUUUUUUUUUUUUUUCAACGUUUAUUUAUUUUUGGGACAGAGAGAGACAGAGCAUGAACGGGGGAGGGGCAGAGAGAGAGGGAGACACAGAAUCGGAAACAGGCUCCAGGCUCCAAGCCAUCAGCCCAGAGCCCGACGCGGGGCUCGAACUCACGGACCGCGAGAUCGUGACCUGGCUGAAGUCGGACGCUUAACCGACUGCGCCACCCAGGCACCCCUGUGUUUGAUUUUCAAUUCAUGUUUUUGAACCUCUUUUUGGCAAUUCUUUGAGGCCUUGGGUGCCUAGAAACGUAUUUUUUGUGUUUCCUUCUGUCAGGCAAAUGUAGUACACCAACCAGUAGUUUAAAUCAAAGUUCUAGUAUUUGUGGGAUUUUUUUUGUUUGUUUUUAUGAAGAUGGUGUGGAUUCCACAUCUGGGGCUGAAUUGCAUGCCUUUAUUCUGAGGGAAUACAUUUUUAUUUCCCUUUUCACCAGCGUUAAUGGCAGACGACCACCAUCUGCCUCUGUGGGAUGGGCGUUCUGUAGCUCAUGGUUUCUCUGAGGGUGUCCUUCUUUACAGGUAUCAGCACAUGUAUUGUUCUAAAGUCUAAUUUCCCUUCCUGGGAGGGUGCAAAAUAUGUCUCUAGGUCUGUGAAUGCACGUGUCCAUUAUGCUGAACUGCAGUCCUUCCGGGAUGGGAAGGCGCUUCUGGGGAAGACUGCAGCUACAGAGUUUAUCUUUGCAUGUAAAAGAGUACUAAGAUUUUCAUUUAGUUUCAGCUUCCUGGGUGUUCCGUGGCAGGAUGGCGUCACGUUCUUCCUCUUUCAUUCCACAAAUAUUUGAGUGCUGACCUUACAGCGUCUACUCCUCAUGGCGCUCACAGGGAACAAAGAUCCCUGCCCCCUCAAAGCACCUCGUAUUGCCUUCAUGUUCUCAUCGUGACAAUAACUAACACACUUCUGAUGUACCGAGAAUCUUUCUAAGCAUAUUUUUAUAUAUUAACAUGAGUGUUUUCAUUAACAGCCUAGUGAUACUGGGGCUACUGUCAUUACCCUUGUAUAGAUCAGAAAAUGAAGGCCUGGGGGGGGUUAAAUAGGUUAAAUACAUACUCAUUGAUAUAAAUGGACAAACGCAUGUAUGAAUGGAUAUAUGGCAGAAAUUCAAGAGAUUCGAACUCAAGACCCUCUGAAAUCAAAGCCCAUAGCAGUAUGCUUGUAAGAACCCCGUGGCUUGUAAUUCUAGCAGAGUUCCUAUGGCGUUCUUCAUCUGAGACUGGGAGCUCUGACCCAUCUUAUUUUAUGAAGAUGUUUUGGUUAAUGAAACUCUCCACAAGAUUUUUUCGGGAGCAAUCCUGCAGAUAGACUGAGAACAACUGCGGUGAAGUGAGACUUGGGGCAAGCCCCUGAGAUGCACCUCAGACUCAAAACUUUUAAAAUUCGAGACCAGUCGAAGGUUUCUUGGGUGUAAGAACACUUGUGAUGUUGUGGAUCAGUGAUCUAUCAAAUUAUAAAGUAUUUAUGAAACAUCUCCUCCCAGUGAUGGAACUUCUAAGCUAUCACUCUAUCAUUGCUCCUUUCACGAGGAUCUCCCAUUGGCAAUAUAAACAGAUCUUCUUAUCUAGCAAAAAUGAUUCCUUUUAUUGUGGAUUCAGUGAGUGCGUAACUUUUUCAUCUACAUAGCCCGAUGUGAUAAGGUAUUAAGGGGACCUUUUCCGGGUGGGCUACCCAUUGCAAAGAAAAAAAGAAGAAGAAGAAGAAAGAAAAAAAGAAGAAAAUGCAACAAAAAUUACAAAAUUUUAUAGACUAAUAUUGUUGCCACAUCAUCAAUUUGUCCCUUUGUUAGUAGUUGCCUGCAAGUCUCUAAUGAAAACCUGAAGAAGUAAAUUGAGAUAGAAAGUAAACAAUCAAGCUGUUGUCUGAAGUCAGGAGAUAGCUUUUAUAACUACAUAGAAAAUAAGUACAGGGUCAGGGAUUAUGAUCUCUUAUAUUUACUUAUAUUUACAUUAUUUAUAUGUACUGUGGAAAUGUUUUUCCACUUGUGAAUAGGUGGGUAGAUAGCAGUGCAAAGUUUGGAAGAAAAUUUCUAAAGUUUUCAGCUGCAGAAAUGAUCUUCAGAAGUCCUUGUAUCUUAUUCUCUGUAAGAGCCUCUCCCCUCUCUACAAUCAUUCCACUUUUGGAGUCACUUUGGUUGUCUAUUGAAGGCAGACUCCCCUCUCUCCAAAGUAGGGUUUCUAACACUAGCCAUAUCUCCAGAAAUUCACCAUCUUCUUUCCUCUCCUCACUGAGUGACUCAGCAAGUAUGCUGGGGAUCAAGUGAGGACCUUGGAACAGUCAUUUCCUAAAUGGCCUGAAGCUUAUCCCUAUAGAAUUACUUAAAACUAUCCCCCCAAUACCAGUGAAACUGGUUUCUUAUGUCUGUUGGAGGAAGUCUUACAAGAUUCCUGCACCAUGGAAGCCUUUCUCUUAUGUCUGUAUUUGAACUAUUUGUUCACUAGAUUCUGAAGUUCAUGGGGGCAGAGACUAUACCUUUCUUUAUAAACUAUUGUUUUCCCAGAAUCUGAUACAAUUUCACCUUGUAGUUGCUCAACAGCAAUCUGUUGAAUAAGGAAAUGUAUCAUGCCCACUGCCUGCAUCGCAUGUUUGCCUAGUGGCUUCAUAGUCUUAUCUGGUACAAUGUCAAUGGGUAAUGAGUAACUUCUGGUGCCGACCCAGCCAGACUGAGACACUAUGAUGGAAGCUGCUUGCAUGGACAUUCUCUAUAAUCAACCAAAUUUUAAAUUCAAUGGUCAAGAAUGACCAAUUCAAAUAUGGUCUAUUUAAUUCAAAACAAACUUUGAGAAAUUCUGCUCUUUGCAAAGCCCAGACAUACAUGUACUUUAUGGACAGAACUUGAGAAAAUUUCCUACAUAGUUUACUCAAGCAUAAUUAUAUAGAUACAGAAGCAUCUCACACAAUUAAUUUUGCUAUGAACUUCUAACUCCUUUUCAUUUAGCGCUGGUGUUUCUCAACAGAGUGUGAUUUUGGCUCUCAGGAGACAUUGUGUGUGUGUGUGUGUGUGUGUGUGUGCGCGCGCGCGCAUUUUUUGGUUGUCACUAAAGGGAAAGGGAAGCACUAUGGGCAUCUGGUGGGUAGAGGCCAGGGAUGCUGCUAAAAAUAUCCUUCUAUGCUUAUGAGAGCUUCCCCCCUCCCAACAAAGAAUAAUCCAGUCCAAAUGUCAGUCUUGGUGAGGUUGGGAAAUGCUGGCCAAACGUGGCCGUGAACAAAUGUCUUUUCUCUUCGCUAUCCAACUGUUCUCUCUUGAUGUUCCUCACUCUUUCCUCUGGCCUCCCAGUUGUCCCUCAUUCUCCUCUAUAGUCACUGUCUUUGUGCUUAUGGAGUAACGUGCACAGGCCAUUGGUGGCUCUGGUCCUAUUUCUCGAAACCAGGCAAACCUAUCCAUUAUUGUGAUAAUGUCAUUUUUGACAGUCAUACCAAGUUUUCUUCUUUCAUCCUGUCAACAUUGAUCCCCUUUUAUUUAUUUUAUUUUAUUUUUUUUUUUUUGCUUUUAACAAACUGACCCUUGUACAGUUGUACUAUGAAAAUGAGUCAGUUUCAUAAAGCAGUAUAUUAAGAUUUUAGGCAGAGGAUGAGGAAGGUAAAUGGUCCCCUGUCCACUAUAUUGAUGUGAUUCUCUGGCCAUUUUCCAGUCAAGUGAGAUUCUGUUGGGACAGUACAGGGUACUCUGGUGGGUGGCACAGUAUACUUUGCCUAUAUCCUUCCUGACAGUCCCCCUUUUGGCCUUGGGGCCCUCGUUCAGGCAUCUGCCAUCUUGGUUUAUUGGAUCUGAGGUCAGUGCUUGAUCUGCAUCCACAUAUUAUAUGUGUAGAUGUGGCUGCAUAUUUUUCUGGGGGUUUAGGAAUGGUUUAUGAAUUCUCAAAGGGACCUGUCGAUAUAUAGACAUUAAGCAUUAGUCAGAGAAAAAAAAUCUUUCCGCGACCUAGCAGAUCAUAGACUCAUGCUUUUAGAAUUGAAUUUAAGGAAUAUUUCCAUGGGAACUUUGGGAACAGUGAUUCAGGCCAUCAUUGUUGCAAGGAGAUACCCAAUUAUGGAAGAAUUUGUCAUUUUUGAAAUUAAAAAAAAAAAACAAAGACAGCCAAUUUAAAAAUGUUUUUCAAACGUGCAUUUGUUUUUCCAUUUGUAUUACCUACUUCAUUGUCUUAGAAAGAUGGAUGGGCUAAAAAUGGCCAUUGAUGACAGUGGCAUUGAGGAGUGAAGAUUACCAUACUAGCAGUUACGGAGGACAGAAAUGAUGUGACGCUACUGGCCCCGUGCAGUCUCUGUUCCUGGUUUUUACAUCCAGAAUGGUCAAGUAUUCUGGAUCCUAAUGAAUCCAGCCCUUAAUGCUUUCCUACAAUUUUCUCUAGGAUAUUCAUAUACUGUUUCACUGUCUUAUGGGGACCUACAGGGACUCAACGGCUAUAUCACCUACACACAUACUAUAUUCUUUUAUAUCACAAUGGUAGUAUCAGUAACAGCGUCAGCAAAAGCCAGAUGAUUUGACUCUUCUAGAACAUUAUAUUCUAUUCUGCAGAAGUAACUGGACAAGAUUAGAGAAAAAGUCUUAGAAAUAAUGCAGUCAGUUGACGUUUUGCUUCGGUGCUGUCGUCAGGAUAUUGAGUCCCCUUGACACUAGGGAUAGGGUGGAAGAGAAGCCCCUUGUGAAGUGAGAUGCCAUUGUUUGAGGGCCUCCUUUAUAGUUCGCUAUAUCGUAUGACACUGUGCAGUAGCAUUGUCACCAUAUUUAUAAAUUCAAACACAGAGGCCCGGAGACAUUACGCAACUUGCCAACAUUUGGGCAGUUCUGUACAAUGGAGAGAGGCUUUUAACUCAAGUUUUUCAGACUCCAAAGCUAUGUUUUAUUCUACUAUCUUUUAUGACCUCAGAAAAUUAUGAAAAGAAAUGAUAGCUUCAGAGGUUGUACUUACUAUAGUCAUCAAUGAUAGUUUUCCAAGCUCAGUGAUCGUGUGGUUUCAGUGUGAGGGGUGGGCCCUAUCAAUUACAGCUGAGUGUGGUUUGCACAGGGGUCAACGUUAUUAAUAGUGUCCUCAAUGAAGAGCAUGAAUUGAAUUCUACCCAAUCUAAUGUGACUCAAUUCAAUUCAAGCUAAAAUUACUUAUUUUGAGCACCAAUUACAGAGUCAAUCAUCUUGGGGGUCUCUGGGCCGAGACAGAAAAGAAGUACAGGUCUGGGCUUUAUCCUUCAGAAUCUCAUAGUCUAGCCAGUCAUACAAGUAACGACUGUGGACCGAUUAACAGCCACCUUCAUGUUCCUGUGAAUUAAUGAUUGCAACAAAUCACAUAUUUUGAAUCAUAUCUCAAGUAUUGGAUGCAAGGUAUUGAUACUUUCUAGCUGUAUAACUGUGGAGCAUUCUCUCAUGGAUAAGAUGGGGAUUAAAAAAUUCAUUAAGAGAGUUUCGUUUUGUUUUGUUUUUGGUUUUGUUUUUUUGAGGAUCAAAAGAAAUGCUACUUUGGAAGUCCAUUUUGAUUACACAUAGCCACGGAGCUUGGGUUCUGUUGGAGGAUUAAAGUAAAUGUGGUGGUCUCAUUCCCUCUCAGGUAAUUAAUUCCAUCGAUAAAUAUAGGAAGAGGCUGAGAUACCUCAGAGAAUAAAAGGAAUUCCUGACGUUCAGAGGCGGAGAGUAUGCGGGACGGGAUUGGUUGUGUAUAAUUCAUAGGUCCUUGGAAAGGAGAAGUAGAAUCUGGCAAAGUGUGUAGAUGGUUAGAGAAAUACACCUAGUUACCUUGGCAGUAGAAACUGAAAGAAUUCUGCAAGACAGAGCUGAGGCAGUUUGGGGCCGAUGCUCUCUGAUCUUGUGCAUCAUAAAAAGAAGGGAUGUUCUCCAUCACCUUGAGGAGCCAUAAGGACUUGGACUAUUCAGGGCUUUAUGCACUUCAUCUGUCAGCAGAAAGAAGUGGCAGGAAAGGAAACUCCAGGACUAGAAACUCAGGGGGAGUUGCAUUUUAUGUAUUUUUUAUUUUGUUGUUAUUGUUUUUUCCAUUGGGUGUCGGGCUCCAUUAGCAAGGACCUCGGUAGACGCAUGGCUCCACCAUUGGCUAUGCAGCCAGCAUGAGGCUUUGCCUCGAGCGUCAGCAGUCUGCCUACUCACUAGUCCAGAGCAUCAACCAAGCAGAUGACAUCUUUGUCCUGGUCACAUGUUGAUCUCUCUGAGACCCACAGUAUUACUGGGGUAAGCCACGCUGUGAAAAGUUUGGGACUUUUACUAGAAAACAGGCCGUGAGUUAGAAAAAUCACAAUUUUUAGUAUUAAGGUGCACCAGACUUUAUUUGCCAGUGAAAUCUGAAGUAUACUGGAGACUUAGUAAAAACUCCCUCACGCUGACUGGAUAAUUUUAGGAACUACUGUUAUUCUGAACCCAGAUGGAAGACGUUCCUGGAGGUGCUUGCCUCAGGCAGCAAAAACAAUCCUGAACAGCGGCAAUCUCGUCUUUGGUGUAAGAGAGCUUGGUGGAUGCCAGAUUUUCUUCACAAUUGUUUAUGGAAAACACUGUAGUAAGAAAUGAGCAACACUGUGUAUUUAUAUUUGAAGGCCUCAUGGCACAGGAGUAUGAUCAACUUGGCAUGGUGCUGGAGGGCCUUGAAAGUACACUUAAACUACACAACAUUGGGUGUCUUGAAACCUAAUUCCUGAGUAACCCCUCUCAGGAUGGGGAAAUUGAUCAGAAGUGUUCCUUCCGGCAUUGGCCACGGAGCUACAGGAAGUGGAGGAAUGAGUCACUGUAUUUGUCUGUUUACCUUCUGUAUACACUGGGCUUUGAGUGAAGCAUUUCCCAUUGAUAAAUUUGCCCUGAUUCUAUUUCUUGGACCCAGUGUAGUGGGUCACCUGUGCACCAAGCUCUAACCAAUAGAUACUGAGGGGUCACAUAUGCUGAUGAGCUGUUCUCUGUAGUCAAGCUGCAAUCAAGUUCCCUAGAUCCUUGUUCCCUCUCUCCUCACUCCCUCUCCCUCUCUCCUUCUGUCUCUCUCUUUCCUUCUCUUUUUCUCCUAAUCGGUCUUCUCUCCUCCUAUCUCUGUUUGGUCCCUAACUCCCCAUUUUUGUUAUCUCUGUUGGGGGUCUCUCUUCUGCCCCUCAUAGGAUUUGGUUAUUUGGUUUUCUCCGUGUGAUACUAAGAUUUCCCCAUCACAAGUUUUAUCUCCUCUCCUUACUCUUCCAUCUCAGAAAUGCUCCAAGAGGGUAAGCUGUCCUGAGGCUGGUGCUGGGAUCCAAGCCCUGACUUGGGCUGAAAGCUCAGACAGAUUUACCAAUAUACCAUGAGGGGGUGGGACGCACGGUAUGAAGUGCAAUGCAAAAAUAUCCCUUGAAGGUAAAGUUCUCCCACUUUUUCACGGUUGUUAAUGGGGGGAGCGGGGCGGGGGGCGCUGUUUCCUUCCUCUUCAUGAAAAUGAGUUUCUCAUGGAAGAAUUGGGGCCUUAGCCAUCAGAACAGCCCCCACCCCCCACCCUCCAUUCCAUCCUGGAAAUCUACGCGCAAACUCAAGCACAGACAGGAUGAGUGGAUGUGUGUUCAUCUGAGGUUCCCAGGAUGCUGUACGAAAAGUAUCACUGCCUUCCUUUGAUAGAGGAGCCUGAGUCCAAAAAGCUCAGUGAGCGCAUUGGUGGUGGCCAGUCGUGGACUCCUAUGUGCCUGUUACUGUGACCUUUUCUUAAGUCUCCCAGCUUUGGGCUGUUGUGAUGGUAUAGAAUGGAAAAAAUGAGUAGUGAAGAUCUGGGAUCAUUAAGGGGAUUUUCAACCUUUUAAAUGGAAAUAUACCCAACUAAUAACGGUAUCCUCAAAAAAUAUCAGUUCCUUUCUGUGAAACUUAUAAAAUAUAUAUUUUUUCACACCUGCUGAGUGCCAGGCUUAGGGCUAAGGGGUGCCCUUACAGAUUUUACAUUCUUAUGAGAGGACAUUGACAGUAAAUAAGUAUAAAAUUGGUAAAGAAUCAUGAGGACAAGGAGUAAUACGUGCUUUGAAGAAUAACCUAGGAUGGUGUGGUAGGGAGUCUGCAAGAAGGGGGUCAAUUUACUGUAGGAGAGUGGAUAGAGUAGAUCUCUCUUAAAACAUGACAAUUAAGUCCAAACCUAAAGAAAAUGAUCCAGUUUAAAUCAUGCUAAUCCAGGAUGUUUUUUCUUCCGGCGGGAUACCUACCACAUAGAGCACAAUCAUGGGUUAAGGUCCAGUUCCUUGGUGUAAGCUGACUACGUCUGGAGGACAGCAUGUGGUAAAUGGAUCUCAGUGUCCCCAUUCUAAAAUGAGAGACUGUAAGGUGGCUCUCUUACCUACUUUAUAGGAGGGCUGUUAGAUGGAAUGUGUUAAUGUUAAUUAAAACUAUUUGCAUAUUUUGGGGCGCCUGGGUGGCUCAGUCGGUUAAGCUCCCGUCUCUUGAUUUCGGCUCAGGUCAUGAUCUCACUGACAGUGUGGAGCCUGCUUGGGAUUCUCUCUCUCUCUCUCUCUCUCUCUCUCUGCUCUUCCCCUGCUUGCAUGUGUUCUUGCUCUCUUUCUUUCUCUCUCUCUCUCAAAAUAAAUAAAUACACAAAAUUAAAAAGAAAACUAUUUGCAUAUUUAAUAAAUUAUACCAAUGCUACUUAUCACAGAGCAUAGGGAGAAUACAUUUGAGUACUGACUGCAUGCAAAGGAUCUGUAUGUCUUAGGGACUUUACACACGUUAUGUUCCAUAAUCCUUACAUCCGCUCGACGGUACUCGAUGGUACUCCAUGACAACUGCUCACACAAGGAAGAACUGGGAAAGCUGGAGAUCCAGCUCAAAGCUUUGUGUUAACUCCUAUCUCCCUUUUCCCCAUGUCGUCUAAUUCACAGAUUACAUCAACUCUAUUGGCAACAACUGGGUUCUAGAGUAAAAUCCUAGACUCAGAAUAAUAAAGGUGGGUUUCAUCCUGUUAAGAGGAAUCAACACAGCACAACGGCGAUGCCUGAGCAGUGGGCAGGCCAAGAGGGGCCUCGGGAAUGCAAGACUGAAGAAAUCUGAUGGGAGCGCGGUGCCACAGCCAUCAGAGGAGGGCAGAGGUGUUCUGCCUGGGAUACUGUCAGAGGAACAGGUGCAGGUUGCAUGUCCCUGUACCUCUCAGCACCGACAAGGGGGUGCUCCAUCACCUGUAAAUGAGAGUCCCCAGAAGGAUUUCUCCCUGCCCUCUUUAUAGUUUCAAACUAGAAUUUGUAUGAAGAUGCCCAAACUGUGUGAAGGUGGUCAGACACAGUUAAUCACACAGACUGAUAGACAGAGAAGGACUAGGUCUCACUCAGCUUCUCUUUACUAAUACCGGUAAGCUCCCCAAACUCUUGAGGGUGGGCUGCUCGUUUCCUUUCUGCCUGCUCAAGAUGGUUCCUUUGUUCUUGGUGCAUACAGUCUGGUCUGCAGUGGAGCAUGGGCUUCUGACUUCAGGGACUUAAUUGGGUCUUAAGGUCGCGUCAGCGUUUGCUCACAGCAUAGUUGCUAAGUCCCGAGUGUACGAGUUGACGUCUGAGCCUUGCUCUGCACGUUGCUUCCUGAGCCUGUGAAAGCAGCAGUUCUCUCUUUGAGCCAAAGUCUGCAUUUUCUCCGCAGGAUCAGUCAUUUUGUGACCUGGAGCUUCCCUCCCAAGAAAGGGAGCUUUAGGCUUAGAAUGUGAACAUGUGGACCCCAGGAUACUUCCUCCGUAGCAUCGUUACACAUCAACCGAGCAGCGGCAGCCCAAGAAUGGUUUGAGGGUGUUACUGUUUAUCCCUUCAUGCCCUGUGUCAUGUGGGCUCCAUUAGCAGCCGUUGGAACACCCCCAAACCAUGACUCCAUCCUGUGGGUCCCUGGCCACUGUCAGGCCAGAUGCAACUGCAUUAUCUAAGUCUGAUGCAGUACAGAUGCAAACCAGGCAGCUGUGAGCUGUCAAACUGCAGCUGACGGGCUUUUGUCCUGCUUGGGUGCAGAAGUUACAAAUGAAAAAGAAUGAGGGCAGAGGCUGUGUAACCACAACUCUGCAUUUCUGUAGGGUGACCUCAGCCUUGGGUGUGAAGGCUGGACUUUGCCCAUACAGGUUCAAGACCAAGAAUGCUAAGGGGACAGAGGGGCCCUCAAGAAGCAGCCUGGAAAAAUACCUGAGCUGCAAAAAGCACUUCAUCCUGACGCCUUGUAGCCAACAGACCAAUUUAGGAGAAGAAAUGGCUGUUCCACUUGUCCCUUCCCUACACCAGCAAAGGCCAUGGAAUCAACCAGACUCCCUGAGACUGUGCCGUCAUCCUCUUAGUGGUUGAACAUGUUCCUCGCUAACCUCGAACUUACUCCCCCCCCCCAACUUGGUAUGCAAAAUCUAACUACCAUACACCUUUGAACUAUUGUAAGAUCCUUGCAUAUGGAUGAGGGACUGGAUUGAUUCUUUUUUCACUAUUUUCAUCAAGUAUAAAUAAUAAGUUCUGUUAACUAGAACAUUCUCCUUCCAGACCUGGUAUGCUCUCAUUUCACCAGAAAAAGCAAACAUCUGAAAGAUUUUUAAUGACUUUAUCCUUUGAAUCUCUAGCCACAGAGAGGAAAUGGAGAAUAAAUACAUCAUGCUGAUUGCUUUAGAGUAUGGUUAGCUUGUCUAGAACUGCAUUUAAUUUGAUUGUUAGCUGUACCUCCAUAUCACUCUGAGUCAGCAAGCACAUUUCCAAAAUGAUGUAUGCUCUAAUUUUUUUUUCAGCUUUAGAAUUCAGCUCUUGUUUCUUCGUCCUUCGCCUUGAUUAGAAAGGUGAUAUGAGCUGGUGGGAAGAACAUCAAUUUUGGAAUCGUCAGAGUGACUUCAAAUCUCAGCUCCUCAAGUUACCAUAGAAGGCUAGGUUAUUUAUACUUAGCCUAUUUCCUUUACUAUGAAAUAGCCAUACAUACUCCCUUCUGUUUUGUGAUGAUUAUCAAAGGAGACACAAUAUUAAAGUGCCAACCGCAAGGACAUGAUAGGAAGUCUUUGUUAGUUCACUGGCUCUCUUCUUCCAAAGCACCUCCUAGUGGAGAUAUCCCCCUGUUGUUUUGAAAUGCCUGUCCUUUUGCUAUUUUUAAAAACACAGCCUUUCACUAUUCUUGCUCGCGUCUUUUUGUUUUUUAACGUUUAUUUAUUUUUGGAAGAGAGAGAGAGAGAGAUCCCUUGAGCGUGCAUCUGAGUGUAGGAGGGGAAGGGAGAGGGAAAGGGGGAGGGGCAGAGAGAGGGAGACAGGAUCUAAAACAGACUCUGUGCUAUUAGCAUAGAGCCCGAUACGGGGCACAAACUCGUGGACCAGGAGAUCACGACCUGAGCCGAAGUCUGACACUUAACUGACUGAGCCACACAGGUGCCACCCCUGCCAGCUUUUAAUCCCUUAAUCCCUGCACAAUUCUAUGAACCCAGUCUUCCCACUUUCAGCCACUCCCCAGCCCUAGCAGAAUCUCAACUGCCACCAGCUGUGUUCCUAAGACAGAACAUUGUAUGUCUCUUCUUCUGCUCCAAGUUGGUUCUGGCCGUAUUGCCCACAUGGGCAAGUUUGAAGGUUGUGAUUCAUUCACUCUUUUAUGCACUGAUUCCAUACACAAAUGUACAUGGAUUCCCGGGAUGUGCACACACGCUCUGAGGGUGCUCUGGAAACAGAUAAAUAGGGACCAUCCUAAGAUCACAAAUCUCGUGAGAACGCAGACAAGCAAUGUGACUUGAGUAACAUGAUGCCAUAAAUACUAUUCUAGAGAGGUGGUAGUCUCUCCCCAACUGUAAAUCUUCACGGUUAGAAAUCUGAUUUAACUUGAUUUCACUUCUAUACCUUUUGCCUCAAUGGUGAGAAUCUUGGAUUGAUUAAAAGGGUCGCUCUGAGUUGAUGACAAGCAAUUACUUGGUUAGGACAUUUAGCACAUUAUCCAAUUAUUGGAUUUCUUGGUGUAAUGGGAAUGCCCACAGACAGGGGCUUUGCCUUAUUCUCUCUGAAUCCUGGGACAGCACAGGACAUGGUCUGCUUUUCCCAGUGAAUGUAUGAAUGGUGAAUGAAAUAGUACUGCCUUUAGAGACGGACACUGAAUUAAAUCUUAACUUUGUCAAGUGACAAUUAUAGGAGCCAUAAAUGAGACUUCAUGUUCCCGAGACAUGGUUUCCUCAGGUAUAAAGUGAAGCUAAUAAAAACUGUCAACAAGGAUUACUGCAUUAAUUAAAAUAACAUAGGGGCACCUGGGCGACUCAGUUGGUUAGGCAUCCGACCGAGGCUCAGGUCCUGAUCUCACAGUUCGUGAGUUUGAGCCCCGCAUCAGGCUCUGGGUGGACAGCUCAGAGCCUGGAGCCUGCUUCGGAUUCUGUGUCUCCCCCUCUCUCGGCUCCUACCCCGCUCGCACUCUCUGUCUCUCUCUCUCUCAAAACUAAAUAAACAUUUAAAAAAAUAAUAACAUAAAUGAAGCACACGAUUUAGGGGUUGGCACACAGUAGGUGCUUAGAACUUGUCAGUUCCCUCCUCCCUCUACUUUCCCUUACGAAAAUGUACUGAAGUAACACAGAUAAGGUAGUUCUCGUGAUGCCUCGCACCUAAGAAGAAUAUUCGUCAUCACUUUGGUCUGCCCACCAUGCAUAGCCCAGAUGCUGUUGUACAGUUUUGCUUUUGUAUGGCAGCCUCUGGGGAGAAUCAACGCAGGUCAAUUAUCCCAUGAUCUAGACAGUAUUCAAACACAUUUCUCCUAGAACGCUGCAUACCCGAGACCUCAUUACUCAAGAACCAAAAAUCAGCAGGUGCAUUCAUUUGAAUAGAAUACAGACCUUUGAUAUAAUUGCAAACAGAGUUGUUUAUUUAAAUAUCCAUGAGGGCUGAAUCGGCCACCUGCAUGAACGUUUCCCUCAGCUUUUACUUUCCCCUUUAAGAUAGCCAGCGUCGUUCUCUCUCAACCCAGAUACACAGAUCGUUUGUACAUUUGUUCUGCUUUUUUACUGAAAUGCUAACUGCCUCGGGCUUUCCAAAAAGUUGGAAUUCCCAAGCACUUCAAAUUCCUUUCUGCGUAGACAAGAGGAAAUGACUAGUUUCCCACAGUAUGGAAUUGUGCUACAUACUUACAGAGUUUUGAAAUUUUCUUUCAAGUCACAGGGCAUUAUGUAGAUACAGGAGGUGUCUGAGAAGAUGACAGACUGGAUACUGAGGCCACUGGUCCUGUUUCCUGUUGGCGAUGUAAUUCAACCUUUCUACACCACAGGCACUGGUAACAAGGAGCUUGGGCAUUUUUUUUUUUUGUGGAUGGCUUUCCUGCAAUUAAAAGCAUAUGUAUGAAGUUGGGAACCAGGAAAUACAUAGUUUGGUAACUUCUAUUUUUCUUUAUGGUUCUUUCCUCUAAGAUUCAAAUAUUAAAGCCAUAAAUUCUCAAGUGGAGACAGGAGGCGCUUUGUGGCUGGAAGCAAACGGACCAUCUCGUGGCUGGAACCGGGCUCGUCCGAUGCUCAGGCCAUCACACUGUUCAGCCUCAUGUGUUGUAUGCAUGGUUGAGACAGCAGUCAGGCAAAGCCAGGCACUAGGAGAUAACACUUGGGAGCUGUAUCAGCCCCAGUAUCCAUUCUGGAUGGCUUAGAGCACACACUUUCUUUUCUUUUCUGAAUUCAUUCAGUUCAGAAGUACAGAGUUCCUACUCCGGCAGGUACUACUGACCAGCAAGCACUGGUUAGGACAAACCAGUGAAGAAACAAAACAAACCAUGCGAUUCUCCCAAAGAGUCGGAUGAGAACCGGAGAGACGACAUCUCUUUAUUUCACUCAUUCUACUUGUAACUGCAACCGCUCUGUCUUCAAAGCUGCAUUAGAGGCUUGGGGAGCCUGGGGGCUCAGUCAGUUAAAUGUCCAACUUCGGCUCAGGUCAUGAUCUCACGGUUUGUGGGUUUGAGUCCCAGGUUGGGCUCUGUCCUGACAGUUCAGAGUCUGGAGCCUGCUUUGGAUUCUGUCUCUCUCUCUCUCUCUCUGCCCCUACCCGCCCCCCCCCCUCAAAAAUCAAUAAACAUUAAAAAAAUUAUAAAAAAAAAGUUGAGUGACUAUUUUCUGAAUUUUCUCAUGUCAUAUAACUAGUAUGUUCUAGAUUCAGAGGAGAGAAAUUAAUUCAUUUCAUGAACAGAUGCCUUAAGGAAUGAAGGAGUGAUUCUCAGAAAAUCCCACUGAGAAAGGCAGCACAAGACCCUAGGCAGAGAAACCACCACAGAGAUUCCAUUCUGUUUUUUUAGGCCUCUGAUCUUAGUCAGAGACAAGCAAGCAUCACCAGACUUUGAAGAGAGUAUCUACCAUGAAAUAAAGAAACCAACCAGAAAAAAAAAAUAGUAGUUUGGAAAAGACUGAAUCUAUAAAUUCCUCGCAGGACAGAAGAUGACAUUAACAUCUGCAGAGAGAAAAGUGGGGGGAAAUGCAGUCAUAAAACAACGAUGUGUUUCUCUAAAAAGUUGUUUUUAGAUAAUUAAAUAAAGCUUUGGAAAUUGAAAGCAUGGUAGCAGAAGGAAGAAUCUCAAAAGGAUUAGAUAAUAAAACAAGAAAGUGACAAGCAGUUAGAGCAAAAACGUCAAAAGGAUAGAAGGUAGAGGUGAGAAAAAGUACAAGGUGAGUGCAAACGGGCCCCCAUCUGAAUAGCAGGAUUUCGAGAAAGACAGAUCAACAGAGGAGAGGAGAGGAGAUUGUCCAAGGAAAAAAACCAGGAAAUGAAAAGAACUGGUAAGAAUUUUCAUUUUAAAAAUGUUUGUUUAUUUUGAGAGAGAGAGAGAGAGAGAGACAGACAGAAUGAGUGCAGGGGAGGGGCAGAGAAAGAGGGAGACAGAGAAUGCCAAACAGGAUCCUUGCUUUCAGCUCAGAGCCCCACAUAGGGCUCGAUCCCAUGAACUGUGAGAUCAUGACCUGAGCUGAAACCAAGAGUUGGACGCCCAACCAACCGAGCCACCCAGGGGCCCCAAUGAAAAUGUUCAUCUUCAUAGUCCCCACCUUACACCAAGCAUAACAGAUGAAAUUAGACCCAAUGACCUUCCCCAAUGAAUGCUAUCUGAGGAGAUAUCAGAGCUGAUGCCAAAGAUAAGGGCAGCUUCCAUUUAAGGAAAAAAAAAAAAAAAAAAAAAAAGAAGGUUUCCAAAAUGGUACAAGCAUCACAAUUGCAUUGUUUCUUCCUCAGUAAUACUGGAAGUUAAAGUCAAGAGUAACUUGAAUUUAAAAAAGCAAUGUCCAGGGGCGCCUGGGUGGCGCAGUCGGUUAAGCGUCCGACUUCAGCCAGGUCACGAUCUCGCGGUCCGUGAGUUCGAGCCCCGCGUCGGGCUCUGGGCUGAUGGCUCAGAGCCUGGAGCCUGUUUCCGAUUCUGUGUCUCCCUCUCUCUCUGCCCCUCCCCCGUUCAUGCUCUGUCUCUCUCUGUUCCAAAAAAAAAUAAAUAAAUAAACGUUGAAAAAAAAAAUUAAAAAAAAAAAAAUAAAAAAGCAAUGUCCAGCCUCGAAUUUUCUAUCCAAGAAAACUAUCAGUUAAGUGUUAGCAUAAAGUCCCCCUCAGAAAUCAGGUUUUUUUUUUUUUUUGUUUGUUUGUUUCAAAAAUGUUACUUGUUACACCUUAGGAAGCUACUAGAGUAUGAAUUUAAACCAAAGUAUAAGAAUUAAGACAUUUUAAAAGGUAGGGAUAUCGACAUCUUACUUUAGAGCCGCAAAAUCAAUUAAGGGCUAAAAUUGGGUGUCUGGGAGCUAGGAAUAAAAAUACUUUUUUCUAAUAAGCUUUGUAGAACUGCUGAACAAUUCCAAUUAUGUGCAAGCAUAAUUUUGAUAAAAAUAAAACUAAUUUAAAAGCAUUACCCAGGCUAAUAUAACGAAGCCAUCUUGCACAUGGCACAGCGUCUAUACUUUCACUUUUCUACCUCAUUAGCCAACAGUGGGUCCUUGCUAAGUUUGAGGUUCCCAACUCAAUAAACGAGAGCACUGGCCCAGGUUAGAACACUUCCAAAGACUCUAAAAUUUUAUCGAUCGGCUUAAUAUUUACUAAGACUUCAGUGUAGUCAUACGGGCGCUGUUUUUGAACAUUAAAUUUUUUGUCUCUGCUUUUAACCUUUUAUUAUAAGCAUGAUAUUCAAGCAAGCAGGAUCUAAAAUGCACCUGCAAGUUGUUCUACUCUUAUAAAAACACGGAUGAAAUGGAGCGCUAGAGGCAUAGCUCCCCUCUUCCUUCAUUCCAAAAAGGUCAGUACCCCCACCCCCUCCUUCCUUUCCUGGAGAGAAUGUCUUUGACUUUUUAGAGAGGGUGAGGCCAGUGGGUGAGCACCAAGAGAAUCCUCUCCAGGGUUAGGAACUGGAUGCCAGUAGAGAAACAUGGCAAUUUGACUUACACAAAUUCACUUCACAGUGCCGGGUCCACGGUAGACUUUUAAUAAAUGUUAGUUUAUAGGAUCAUAAAACAUGGCAUAUAUUUUGGAGCAAUUGAGAAGAAAAUAAUCUUCCAGAACACUGGCAGCCAUCCUCUUGCUCCCCACGUGACAAAGAGUUGCUCCUGGAAAGAAGCAUGUGCUCCCCACUUAGCAUCUUGGUAGGGGCUGGUGCCCUGGUGAAUGCCUCUGGUUUGCUCUUUUCUCAAACCCUUCGUGUCUCUGAACUGGUGCUUUGUGCUUGCGAGUAAUCAAAGGAGAAUUAAAAUUGAUAUCGGGGAUGAUGGUUGGUGGGAGUUGGAAACAGGAGAGCUAGGGUUUGGAUAGUUUAUAUGAUCCCUCCUUUCUAUCGUACACACACUGAACUUAAUUUAUUUCAAGUUGAAACUGAUUUAUUUAUGUUCAUAUCUUACAGAACAUUCUAGUGAAGUUUCCUUGAUUUAGGCCAAUUUCUAAGUGCUUUUCUCCUUUUUAUUUUAAAAGAAACCUGAGACUCUGUUCCCUAUUAAAGAGGAAGAAAGCAUCAUUGAUGUCCAGCUUUCCUCUAGCUACUCUGAAUUUGAGCAGAUUGUAUGACUCAUCUUUCCUAGAAAUACAACAAUGAGAUCAUCAUGUCUGUUCCUUCCCACUCUAAAUACAGUUGAUUUUGUUUCCUCUAUGUUCAGGGAUAUAUAUGCAUAUUUUCUCCCUCCCUCCUUCCCUUCUCCCUCCCUCCCUCCCUCCCUUCCAUCCAUCCUUCCUUCCUUCCUUCCUUCUCUUCUGAAAAGCCCUUUGCUUGUUAAUACACAAGAGUUUAAUCAUAUAAUUGGAACAGCAAAGAGGAAAAUGAGCAGAAGUUAAUAUACUUUUUUUUUUCAGACAGCUCAAUCCCUGUCUCCAAAGCUAAAAUUGUAUAAAUUAUGUAAAGAGAUAUAUCUGUAUUUUUAAAAAUUUUUAAAGUUUAUUUAUUUUGAGAGAACUAGCAGGGAAGGCACAGAGAGAGAGGGAAACAGAGAAUGCCAAGCAGUCUCCUCACUGUCAGUGCAGAAAUCGAUGUGGGGUUCAAAACCACGAACCCGUGAGAUCGUAACCUGAGCUGAAAUCAAGAGUUGGACACUUACCCCACUGAGCCACCCAGGCACCCCAUUGUUUUUUUUUUUUUUAAUACCUCCUAUAGUAGAAAACUCACUGCUUCUAGACAGAGGUAGUCAUUCUUUUUUUUAUUAUUAUUUAUUUAAUUUUUUAAAUUUUAUUUUAGAGAUAGAGGGAGAGAAAGAGUGUGAGUAGGGGAGAGGGGCAGAGGGAAAGAAAAAGAGAAUCUUAAGUAGUCUCCACAUUCAGCACAGAACCUGAUGUGGGGGUCAAUCACAUGACCCUGGGAUCAUGACCUGAGUAGAAAUCAAGACUCCAUCACUCAAACUACUGAGCCACCCAGGUUCCCCAGAGAUAGUCAAUUCUGCUUUUAGCAAUUUCCUUAGAUCAUUCUUACUUACCUGGACCUAAAAUCCGAUGACCCAUAACCUUUACCUGUUAGUGGUGGUCCUGACUUAGAGAACCAAAAGGGAUAUGCUAGCUAGGGAUCCUGUCUAGCUGAUAUCCCUUUGGGUAUUUGUGGACAACGAUCAUAUCACAUGAUCUGUUCUACUUCAAGUGUAGAAUCCAUAGAGUAUAGUUUACUUCAUUUUAGACAUUUAGCUGUGAUCCUAGAUUAACAAUUUGGCCUGAAUUAACCAGAAAAGUCUUCAAAUACCUGGUUUUACAUGUCUUUAAAUUGCCGUUUCACCAAAUUGACAAGUUGCUACUGUAAAAUAGGCAAAAUGUCUGGGUAAAUACCUUUUUCCUGAAUCACACGGAUAAUUUGGCAUUAUUGUUGUGCAACCAGGAUCUGCACCAUGUUUAUUAAAACAAAUGUGAGGAUUGCUAUUUCUUUAAUUUCUUACUGUAUUCCUGAAAGAUGGUGUCUAAGUCAAAUUGCUGCAUCAAUCCUCGUGCAAUUCCGUUUUAAGAUUCUCAUUUAUUCAUUUUUAUUGCUUGUGCGCAAACCAAAUUUAACAAAAUGCAUGACACUUUUUCUAUUUUUCUAGGAUAUUAAUGUUCAAAGACCACCCUACCAGCAUAGUCUCAGGUUCCCCUUGAAAUUAGAAUUAAAGAGAAUGUCAGAUUUAGCCCCAGCUGCAAAAAUAAGGUUGCCCAAGGGAACAAACAGAACAAUGGAGAAGAAGAAGAGGAAGAAGGAGGAGGAGGAGGAGGAGGAGUAAAAUGGAACAGAGCAUUAAGAAAAUAUCUGAGUAUCCCAAAUAGGUUUCCAGGCGUACAUCCAUACAUGAGGAAAUGCAGAAUGCAAAAGAACUUCUAGACAUUCAAUCUGGAAAGAAUCUUAUGAUUUCCCAUGUAGUUUUAAGAGUAUCAGUAAGUUAAUUUUCCAGUGAAUCUUCUAAGUGCAAAACUUUAGAACUUUAAAAAUUAGAACUCACAACUUUAAAGCUAAAAUACAAACUAGAGAUACAGGAAGCACCAAACUGAGCCAAUAUACCUUGGCUUGAGAUACUAUGAUGUCAUUUAUGAGCAGUGUAGCAUCGCUAAGAAACUGCCUUUCUAGAACAUAUUAACCCAGGAGCCUGGCUUUCCAAUGCUCCUGGCCUAGUCUGACCGUCACAGGGCUCUAAGAGAAUUAGAGCCUCAACUAGAGUUUCUACUAAAGGGCUUUCCAAACAGAGGGAACACAAAUUUCCAAAUACAAGAAGUGCUAAAGUGGUAAGUCUGGGGAACUGGAGGUAACCAGAUUCUAGGCGGGCCUUAAAUUCCCUGCUAAGAACUUGGGCUGUACCCUGUAGAAACUGAAGUAUCCUGAAAAGUUUCAAAGAGUUGGUCCCUGGCAUGACCGGGUUUGCAAAGCAGAGAGACCACUCGUAUAGGAAUUCAAGAGGAUGAGGUGAAGUGAAUGAUGUUAUAUGGCAACAGCACUGGGGUAAGGAAAUGAACACUGUGGCUGAGAUGCAUGCCAUGUGCUAUGGAAUGUGCACCUUGUCUAAUCAAAGAAGACUGCAUACUGAAGGCCAAAUGUAUUCUGAGCAUUGAAGUGUGACCCAGGAGGCCCAUACUUACUUAUUUUCUGAAGUAUCCAGGAACAAUAAUACACCCUGUACUGUGCCCUGAGUUCCUAGAACUGUUGUAUGAACCAUUCGAUGCAUUAAUUUCCUGCUUACUCUUCUUGAACCAAUCUUCUUCCUUGAUCCCGUUUCUACUGUUUUCCUUCCACUCUUUUCCAUACAGUGCCUCAUGCGUGGUAACCCAGUUGUCCAGUGAUGUUGGGGAAGAGCAGAACCUUAAGAUUGCCAUCCUUAAGUGGGAUCCCCAGGCAAAAUUCCUCUGGACACGGCCGGGAUAUUUUCUGCUCUCUCUCUCCUCAAACCUGUUACCUCCCACACAUAGAAAAAUGUGCCAUAUACUUACUCUUCCAGUUCCUCAAAACAGCUAUCACCACACUUCCCAGAAAACUUUUCUAGAAAACUUGUUUGGCAUUGAUUCAGCCUCAGCUUAUCCAUCACUGACGGGCUUACAGAUUAAAAAAAACGGACUGUCGGAGGUUGGGCAAAACGGAACUUGGUUUUUCCUCUUAGACUGGGAUGUUACCAUGAGAAUUAGAUGAGCUGGAUGUUUUCUGUGGCCUCUUCUAGAUACAGUCUCUUCUUCUCAUUGUGCCUCAGGACACUGACUUACAUUCUUCCCCCUUAACUCCUUUGACUUCUAACUUUAGGUUGACUUCAGGCAACCAGAGAACCUGGCAGGAUAUUGGAGGCUGGAGAAGAAGAGAGGUCUGAGGAUUUAUCCUCACAUCGCCUGCCCCCAUCGGGACAGUGGUGUGGAAGUAGGUACAUCUCUACCAAUGCCCACCCCCUACUGGGCAGCCCUUCUCCCAUGGCUCCAGCUAUCUUGGGCUCUGUAAUUGUACUUCCCCCUCUCAUCCUUCCAGGCCUAAAGGCAGCACCUGCUCCCAGUAAGGAUGAAGACCGUGGUUACAACUUCUUGGUUCUCUGAACACUGUUUACACCUGUAUAUACAAGCCUUUCAUUAAACAGCCUUUGCUUCGUUCUUUGAUCCUGUUUUCUG